rnacentral:rRNA from 1 species
UACGUAGGGAGCAAGCGUUGUCCGGAAUCAUUGGGCGUAAAGCGCGCGUAGGCGGCCCCGUAAGUCCGCUGGGAAAGUCAAAGGCUCAACCUUUGAAAGCCGGUGGAUACUGUGGGGCUAGAGUACGGAAGAGGCGAGUGGAAUUCCUGGUGUAGCGGUGAAAUGCGCAGAUAUCAGGAGGAACACCAAUUGCGAAGGCAGCUCGCUGGGACGUUACUGACGCUGAGACGCGAAAGCGUGGGGAGCAAACAGG